rnacentral:misc_RNA from 1 species
UACGUAGGGUGCUAGCGUUGUUCGGAAUCAUUGGGCGUAAAGCGCGUGUAGGUGGUCAGUAAAGUUGGGUGUGAAAUCCCUCGGCUCAACCGAGGAAGGGCACUCAAAACUAACUGGCUUGAGAGUGGUAGAGGAAGGUGGAAUUCCUAGUGUAGAGGUGAAAUUCGUAGAUAUUAGGAGGAAUACCGGAGGCGAAGGCGGCCUUCUGGACCAUUUCUGACACUGAGACGCGAAAGCGUGGGUAGCAAACAGG